ensembl:lncRNA
GCUUGCUGAACAAUUAUGGAGCCCAAACAGUGGAUGUAGCACAGUAUCAAUGUCUUCCAUUUCUCUGUGCUGAUUGUUUUCCUUACUUGCCAACGCUUAAAAAUAAAGGCAAUCCACAAGUUUCUUAACUGGCUGUUCUCCUAUUAUGAGCUCUUCCCUCACUUUGGCAGACCUGCAUGAUGAAUAUUGCCUCCACAUAUUAAGAAGGCAGACUCCAAGUCUCCAUUCAUGAGGUAGCACAUGGGGGAAGACUCCCUCAUUCUGGGCUAAAGUGGGGUCAGUGCAGUCAUCUCAACAGAAUGCAAUCCUGUCUUGGGAAUUUUUUAGGCCUCUGUCCUGAGCUGUCAGAUUUUGAUAUACAUUAAAAUAUGAUGAAUUUGAGUGCACAGAAUCAGGGAGGGAAAAUUUUCUUGAAAUGUGACAUUGUCAUCUGAGAAAACAUCUGAAGUCAGUUAUCUUCUGGAGAAACAUUCAGACCAAAGGAUGAACCAAAACAUUCGGACUGCAGGCUCAGGCAUCCAGAGAAAAUGAACAUUGGAAGAAAGCUCAUCAGUCUUCAUGUCUACACCGAGGUCAAAGCAAUUAUCAAAAAAUCACAACAAUACAGUAGGAAUUCAGCCACUGAGAUGUUCAUAAGAAAUAUUGCCCUACGGUGGUGUGAGUUCAUUUAGAGGCCCAAUCUCUUCUGCUGGCAUCAGAGCUUCAAGGCAAUUUACCCUCAAGAUGCCCAGCCGCAUCCAGCAGACGUUAUUGGCUCCCUGGUCUCCUGCAUUCACAGCAUCAUCCUUCCUGACCUUUCCCGCUCUCUUCCAACGGUUCAUCUUUGUGAUUAAGUGCUGAUCUAGCUCCCAGUUGCUGAAGACAGAAACCCUGAAGACAAAAAGCUGUUAAUGAAGAAAUUAGCUCUACAAUUGAUCCUAGAGCCAUGCUUAAGUGCGCACGAUAGCUCUGCCUAUUGAACUGCCACAGUUGCUGAGUAAUUAAUAACAUCUUUGUAUCACAGGCUAUAAAACACCCUGUGGAUUUCUGCACUGCAAUCCCAUUUUGUCUUGCUGAGUGUAUCACUGUCUGACUAACAACAUACCAUCCCUCUGGAAGAAGGCUGUGGAGAUUAUACCUGUACAUGGCCACAGUACCCUUUCCAGGAAAAUGUAAUAAUAGACAAGGAAUACACCUUUUGUGCACUAUUUAGGCAAUAAAUGUAUUAAUAUU